rnacentral:misc_RNA from 1 species
ACAAACUUGGUCAUUUAGAGGAAGUAAAAGUCGUAACAAGGUUUCCGUAGGUGAACCUGCGGAAGGAUCAUUAAAAUAUUACUAGUUAGCUGUAGGGCUGAGAAGCCCUUAAAAGUUGACUAUGUAUUUUCAACCACGUUGGUUAUGGGCACUUUCUUGCUUCCGUGAAUUUUAAGGGUGUUAAUUCUCUAUAGGUUAGUUGGCGCCUUUCACGGAGGUAUUUCGAAAUAAUUAUGUUUUCAACUUAUGAUGAAGACAACAUUACGCCUCUCUGACAAAAAUUAUACAAAAUAAAUUUAAAACUUUCAACAACGGAUCUCUAGGUUCUCGCAUCGAUGAAGAACGCAGC